rnacentral:lncRNA from 1 species
CUCCACCAGCAGCAUCGUAGUCUGAUCAGGCUAUUCCUGCACCUCUAUCAACAACACCACCAUCAAAUCUGGCUUCAUAACUACCGCCACCAAAAUAGCCAUGGGUCCCUCAAUGUUCGAAAAGGAGACAAACCCACCAAAGCCACCCUAAAAGUUUGGAACCAAGAAGGUGGCAAUCUCUGAGCCCCUGAUCAGGCAUGACUCAACCCC